ensembl:lncRNA
UCCUUAUUAAAGAGGAUGAGAUUUUCUAGGAGGAUAAAAAAUUCCAGAUUGGUUCAACAUGUUUGAAAGUUUGAAAGGGUAUAGCAUUCACAAGUACCAACAUCAUCAGCUGUCCUCUUCUAAAUGUCAGAUUGUUUAGAGUGAAUAGAAUGUUGGAAGUCAGAUUUAAAAUGGGAGAUUUAAAUGAAAGGAGAUUUAGAAUGUUGAAGAUAUCCCGUUAAAGAGGAAGAGGAUUUCUAGGAUAGCCUGAGUAAAAGGCAGUUUACUUUGGGCACCUCAGUCAUCCAAACUUCCAAAUACUGCCCCCUAUCCCUAAAAAGUUAAAGUAAUGACUGACGGCCAUUUCUCUUUGCUUAUGUGAGCUGUUCUUGACAUAAUAUGGACUUGAUCUUUUACCAAACAGGGUUAUCUUCUGUAUACCACCCCUACCUUGUCACAACACAACUGAUUGGUUAUCUUCUGUAUACCACCCCUACCUUGUCACAACACAACUGAUCGGCUCAAAUGCAUUAAGAAGGAAAGACAUUCCACAAAAUGUGCUCAAAAUGUGCUCAAAAUGUGCUCAAAAUGUGCUCAGAGUGUUGAAAAACUGUUUUUUUUAUGAUCUGUUUUGGGUUUUGUACUAAUCAUUGCUAAACUGUACCACAGUAGUAGUUGUGAACACUGCCCCUCCCUCCCCCAGAGCUGGUUGAAGAGGUGAGUAUUUAUGACGUCCUGUGGGAGACCAGUGAGAGAGUAGCAGAUGAGAUCCUCGACUCAGCCUUCCUCAGAGGGAUGUAUUCCAGACGUCUGCCUGCCCGCUGCUAUGCUGACUUCUGCCACCAGGAGGUGCUAUACCUGGACAGAGUCAUCACCAUGCUGCGGGUGCUGAUCAGAACAGUCCAGGGUCCUCCAGACAUCAUGAUGUUUCUCCAGAGAACACAUCAACGCUACCAGGAGUCACUGAAGAAGGCCCAGAUCCAAACUCCACCACACCUGAACCUGUCCUCCAUCCAGCCCUCUGCAGCUGUGCGUCAGUACCUCCAGAGCUUCCAUGACAUUGUAAAUGAGGAGCCCAUUUACUGGCUGGUGUCUCUGCUGCCCAGAGCCCUGCUCAGACCUUACCUGGCACAGAACCUGCCCCUGGGAGAGAGGACCAGACCAGACCCCAGCCCCUGCCUCUACCCCUGGCUAAACCUCUUCCCCUGCCCCUGCUACCAGUGGGGGGGAGAGGACAUGAAGCCUGACCAGAGGAACCAGAAGGAUGAGUCUGGGACAUAUUACAGUACCAGGAUGUGAUAGACGUCUAUAAGGCUGUCAACAUCUUCAGAGUCCAGAUGAUCAACGAGAAGUCUCUCUUCACCUCCAGCUGGUUUCCCACUGGUGACAAGGAGGAAGAGGAGGACCAACCCAACCUGUGGUCUGUGGAGUCUGGUCCUGACGUUAGGGUGAAGCUGUAGCAGUGCAGCUGUAGAAUACAGGGAGCUGAGUGUGUAAGGCUGUGUGUGUUGGCUUUCACACUGGGCAGGACUGUUCCUCUUGUCAGACAUAUUCCAAUAUUCCACUUUUAUGUUAGUAACUUCCCCCAAAUAUCUACUGUUUAAACUGUAUUAAUGCAAUAACACAAUGAAUGUU